AGCAUCUGACGGUCUCUGGUUCUUGUGUGCUCAUGGACGGCAGGAAACCUGAGGAGAGUGAAUUCUACGGCAUUUAGAGAGAUGUUUGGCAUAUUCAGACAUGGUUGUUUUAAUCCAAAGUUUAAGAAAGAUGGGGACCUGGAGGGAGACUAUACGAAGAAGACAGGAAGUCAGACUACUGGAAGUUUCCUCAGGCUCGCCAUGGGGGAGGAUGCAGCUGCCUUCCACGUGGCCGUUCCUGCUGCUGGAAAUUAAGAUAACUCUGGCUUGGGUCAUCAGCGUCGGAAAGAGAGACACGUGGACAAGGAGAAAUCUCGACAAGGCUCUUUCCUUCUGCAGAAAGGCGCGGGUGCUCCAAAACCACGCGUGCUGAACAAAGGACCCUCCCCUAUUGAUCCCUAACGCAGGUGGUG